UACCGGUACUAAUGACCCGUGAGGCUUAACCUUACAACGCCAGAGGCGUUUUGGGUUGAGAGACAGAAGAAUUUUCAGCCUUGUUUACCGGAUAAGAAUAUGGUUCUGUUCUGCGGACGUGAGUCCGAAGGAUUUUGCGCUGAGGCAAGGCGGCAACCGAGACGAUGUGAAGGAGCAUACUGAAGUAUGUGACUGAGCAGCGCGAGGGCGCCAACGCGGCAUCAGCCCAAAAGACACAGGACAGGGCGGAAAGAAUUUGCCUGGCGGCUGUAGCGCGGUGGUCCCACCUGACCCCAUGCCGAACUCAGAAGUGAAACGCCGUAGCGCCGAUGGUAGUGUGGGGUCUCCCCAUGCGAGAGUAGGGAACUGCCAGGC
rnacentral:rRNA from 1 species